rnacentral:rRNA from 1 species
UACGGAGGGAGCUAGCGUUGUUCGGAAUUACUGGGCGUAAAGCGCGCGUAGGCGGCUUUGUAAGUUAGAGGUGAAAGCCCGGAGCUCAACUCCGGAACUGCCUUUAAAACUGCAUCGCUUGAAUCCGGGAGAGGUGAGUGGAAUUCCGAGUGUAGAGGUGAAAUUCGUAGAUAUUCGGAAGAACACCAGUGGCGAAGGCGGCUCACUGGACCGGUAUUGACGCUGAGGUGCGAAAGCGUGGGGAGCAAACAGG